UAAUACGUAGGCAGCGAGCGUUGUUCGGAGUUACUGGGCGUAAAGAGUGCGUAGGCGGUCAGCCAAGUUUGGUGUGAAAUCUCCCGGCUCAACUGGGAGGGUGCGCCGAAAACUGGUUGGCUAGAGUAUGGGAGAGGAAAGCGGAAUUCCUGGUGUAGCGGUGAAAUGCGUAGAUAUCAGGAGGAACACCUGUGGUGUAGACAGCUUUCUGGACCAAAACUGACGCUGAGGCACGAAAGCGUGGGUAGCAAACAGG
rnacentral:rRNA from 1 species